AUGAGACUGCGAAGGAGCAUAAAAUGAAUAGACAAUACAACCAACCAAAGACCGGGGGCAGCAGCACGCCAGCAAGACGGCAUCUUCUCCUCCCCAGCCUAGAAGCCCUGUGAAAUCGAGGAUCUUCCCCCUAAAACACACACACACGAGAUAUGUGCAAUCAAGCUGCCACCGCUUGGUAAAAAGCUCACGGUGCCUAACCCAAAAGGAUCAGGAGCAGAUCCUUGAAUCAGCUGUCACCUCUUCUAUAGAAUGGGAUGUUUUUUUUUCCUUCCUCCUUAACCUGCGCUGGAAAUUGCCGUUGGCUUUGUACAUCUCUAUAGAGGGAGGCUAAAGAGUCUUGCGUGAGAAUGAAGCAAUUUACAAUGCAAAUAGAGGCCUGUGGAGGGACGGAUGCUGCUGCUCACUCGUAACCGCUUGCUGCACCUUAAUAGCUGGUUUUAUUUUUUGAUAUUAAUAGAUGAAUUGUUGGCUAACGCUGUCGGAGAUUACUUGCUGAAAGGAAAGAAAAGUUCGGAAUAAACUUUGAAAGCAACAGAUCUCGUUUGGAUGUUUUAGCCGCACACACAAACAGAAACCAGGUCAUAUUUACAUACAAGAAGGAAUCUUAUGCUCGGCAAGUGUCCUGGAGGACUACUCUUCGGUACUGCCAGAGAGAUCGGGAUCUGGAAUCUGGCCAGAGGAAGACAGAGGCGUGUGAGGGAAGUGAGUUGUUAUCUUUGGUUAUCUAGCUGUAUGAGUGUAUUGGUCUUCAUAAAGCUAGAUAACCGAAAGUAAAAACUCCUUCAAGAUCGCCGGGGAGCAUGUGAGAAUGAAAGACUACAACCAAGAGACAGUAAAAACCAGAAAGGACAGUGUUUCUCUGCUGGCCCAGUGUGUGAACCCUGGGUUGGUGCCCUGUUCCAGAUGGGAAGGCACGAUCAGAAAGGUUUGCCUCAGGACUCACUUUGCCACGCAUCAAGUCUCUGCGCCUCAUGGUGACAAGUUGUUUUCUCUCCUCUUGUACUACAUUCUGUCCUUGAUGGGAUAUAGAUAUUUUAAAGCCAUGUCAGUGAGACAAGUCCCUCCUUUGAGGAGUGUAAAUCUAAAUGGAUCCACCGUCUGCUCCAGUGCUGGGGCACUGCGUGUGGAAAACCACUGA
rnacentral:lncRNA from 12 species